UUCCUUGUGGCCCAAUGGCAAGGCGUCCGCCUACGAUGUGAUAUUAUGUAUCAGAUUGAAGUUAAAGCGGGAGAUUCCAGGUUCGACCCCUGGCAGGGAAG
rfam:Lipomyces starkeyi NRRL Y-11557 unplaced genomic scaffold LIPSTscaffold_8, whole genome shotgun sequence.